GAUGAACGCUGACAGAAUGCUUAACACAUGCAAGUCGACUGGGGGGACGGGUGCGUAACGCGUACAGAACUUCCUCUCAGGUAGGGACAACAUUUGGAAACGAAUGCUAAACCUAAUCCUGUGAGAGAGCUUUGCGUCCCAUUAGCUAGUUGGAGGGGUAACGGCUCACCAAGGCGAUGAUGGGUAGCCGGCCUGAGAGGGUGAUCGGCCACAAGGGGACUGAGACACGGCCCUUACUCCUACGGGAGGCAGCAGUAGGGAAUCUUCGGCAAUGGGGGGAAGCCUGACCGAGCAACGCCGCGGGAGUGAAGAAGGUUUUCGGAUCGUAAAGCUCUGUUGUUAAGGAAGCGGUACCUAAACAGAAAGGGACGGCUAACUACGUGCCAGCAGCCGCGGUAAUAC
rnacentral:rRNA from 1 species